UGGCGCUUUAGGGUUUACCACCUCGCUUAUCUCUUGUUAUCAGUUGCUUCCGUCACGCCCCAAGUUCAAGACACCUUGAAGCAAGAAGAAGCUUGUUCUCUAGGCCUUCAGAAUAAUUGUUUCAUAUUUAUUUUGUAAACCUGCUGUGUUCUGGUAAUAUCAGGCUGUUGUUCCUUUCAAUGAAUUUGCUUUGCAAGAAUAAUGAUAACUCUUAAAAUAAGAUUGAGUAUGAUACUUCUUCAAGACUCUGUGUUUGUCUCUGAUGUUGAACAAUAGAUGCAUUGUCUAUGUUCACUGUU